rnacentral:rRNA from 1 species
UAGGGAAUCUUCCACAAUGGACGCAAGUCUGAUGGAGCAACGCCGCGUGAGUGAAGAAGGUCUUCGGAUCGUAAAACUCUGUUGUUAGAGAAGAACACGAGAGAGAGUAACUGUUCAUUCGAUGACGGUAUCUAACCAGCAAGUCACGGCUAACUACGUGCCAG